rnacentral:rRNA from 1 species
AGUAACGCGUGGGUAACCUGCCUCAUACAGGGGGAUAACAGUUAGAAAUGACUGCUAAUACCGCAUAAGCGCACAGUGCUGCAUGGCACAGUGUGAAAAACUCCGGUGGUAUGAGAUGGACCCGCGUCUGAUUAGCUAGUUGGUGGGGUAACGGCCUACCAAGCCGACGAUCAGUAGCCGACCUGAGAGGGUGACCGGCCACAUUGGGACUGAGACACGGCCCAA